rnacentral:rRNA from 1 species
GCCUCCCUCUUUCCUCGUGCUUAACACAUGCAAGUCGAACGGAAAGGCCCUGCUUUUGUGGGGUGCUCGAGUGGCGAACGGGUGAGUAACACGUGAGUAACCUGCCCUUGACUUUGGGAUAACUUCAGGAAACUGGGGCUAAUACCGGAUAGGAGCUCCUGCUGCAUGGUGGGGGUUGGAAAGUUUCGGCGGUUGGGGAUGGACUCGCGGCUUAUCAGCUUGUUGGUGGGGUAGUGGCUUACCAAGGCUUUGACGGGUAGCCGGCCUGGGAGGGUGACCGGCCACAUUGGGACUGAGAUACGGCCCAGACUCCUACGGGAGGCAGCAGUGGGGAAUAUUGCACAAUGGGCGGAAGCCUGAUGCAGCAACGCCGCGUGCGGGAUGACGGCCUUCGGGUUGUAAACCGCUUUCGCCUGUGACGAAGCGUGAGUGACGGUAAUGGGUAAAGAAGCACCGGCCAACUACGUG